AUUUUUGUUCUUGUGAUGUUUUAUUAUUAUCAGAAUCUAGGCAAGAACAACAUUGCUCCUGUGAGAUGAUGUUAUUUCUCCUUAUGUUUAUAAUAAAUUUUGAUUACAGUGUACAAAGAAAUCAAGCAAGGAAGGAUGCAUUAUUUGUUUAUAGCAGUACUGAACAGCAUGAAAAAGGGAAAGAAAGUCCUGCAAGACUGAGGCUGUUACUGAAAAAACUUAUGAGAGGCAGGACUUCAAAGCUUAGACAUCCUAGCACAAAGCUGUGGCCAGACACCACUGAGUCCUCUGCUGAGUCCUCUGGUAUACGCAGGCAGAGAACUGAAGAAAACAGAGACAAGUUGCACAGGAACUGAGGAGUCAUGGCCUGAACCUCUGAUUCAUCACCUGAGGCAAUGACUGAGUUAGACAUGCAAGCACAGAUGAAGGCAGUUUACGUGUGUGACAGAAAAGUUUGGAGCCUGGCUCCACAUCUUUGACCAGAUUGAAGGUCUGAUUGCCUGUAGGGUAGGUUCUCUUUCUGGAGAUCCUUCCUUUGUGGAGCUUUUCAUUGCUAGCCUAAAUCUUCAGAUGUGGGUGAGCAUUCCUUCUCUAUUUCUUUGCUGUAUCAUUACAGUACUGUUCUUUGUUGACUGUACAUAAGUUUACUGUAAGUCACUUCUUUUUCUAGUAGUAAAGAGAUUAACUGCUAAGGAAAUCUACUUAGUUAAUGACUUUUAUGGGGGUUUGAUAGGUUAUACAGCAGACUUCCUGCAAGAACCUUGAAUAAUGAACUGUCCUGGCAAGUAGGUGUUGUUAUGAUGCCUGUGGAUACUCUAACCAGUCACCUGAAGGAUUUCUAUGAAGUGCAUCAAGGGAGUUUAAGAGAGUUAUGUUGCCUAGAAACUGAUUGAAUCUUUUUAUGGGGGGAAAUAUUUCUACACAUAAAAUUCCUAAAAGUCUUCUGUGUUUCAGUGACUUCACAGACUAUAUUCUGGCUUUUGAUUCUAAAGGGUUCUGUGGAUGCUACAAGAGAUCAGUUGUUUGCAAAACUCAAUUGAAACAAAUAUCAAACAUGCAGAUUCUACUGAUUCCAGAAGGUCUUAUGUGAAAACCUUGAAGAAGAAGUAUCUUUACAUGUAUUUUAUGCCUGCCUCAUUUCUUCUUGUUGUCAUUGGUUCAACCAUUUGCAAGGUAUCGGGAGUGACACUCAAAUAUAUGUAGCAGAGUAAUAAUUUUUGUAGCUAUAUAGAUCUAGAUUAGUGACAAUUCUGUUCUUUAUAAGUGUGCUCCUGACAAAAUUCUCAGGCAACUGAAAAUAUAAAAUAAUCUAUUUAAAAAACCCCUAAGCAUAGUAAGAUAAAUAAUUACAUUUUGAAAUGAUGUAUAAAAUGUAAAUAUUUAGAUAUCUUGUUCUAUUUAUCUCAGUAGGAACCACAGAGAAUGAGGACAGAAAAAUUAGCAAAGAUGAACUGCCUCCUUCUGGCUUAGCCUCUAAUGCUUUUGAGCCAGUUCCUGAAGUAUUUUCAGUAACUUCUGCUGGAUCUUAAAGUUAUUUUCUCUGAUUAAGAGACUGACUUUCUCGUGCCAGAGAACUGAGCUGAUGUGAUAUAGAGCGCUCAGGAGUACUGGACUCUUUUUACUUUUUUCUUUUUUCGGUUGUGAAUCAUGCAAACAGAUGUUAUGAAAGGGAAAUUAAGCUAUAUGGCAUAUGGCAACUGGGAUAUUCUUGUGAAUCAUACACAGAACAUGUAAACUUCAUAUGUAGGGGAGUUUGGCCCGUUUGCCUUUUCUUCCAUAAAGCAGAUUUUGCAAUCAGGUUCAAAAUCCUCUGCAGUUAUCAAGACUGAGAAAAUCCAGAAUAUCUUUUUUUUUUUGCAUAUAUAGUGUAUGUGGCUUUUGGGAAAAAUAUGCAUGACCUUUGGUAAAUAACAGAAAUAAUGUUCAUUUAUAAAAUCAACAGAGCUUUUAAGUUUCAACUUAACUCUCAGUGUUAUAUAGUGGAUUAGGAAAGAGAAUUUCUUUAGUAACCUAGAACACUGGACAAAAAAAAACAAUUUACUUCUUUAGAAUCUAACUGUGGCACUGUAGUGGGCUGGUUUUUUGUUUUUUUUUUUUGAGUUUUUUUAUGAGGAGAAAAAUGAAGUAUCUCAAUAUUUGAAGUGAACUGAAUUGCUGAGAAAGAUACAUAAACAUUAGUUGAUCCACUUUUGCACUAUGCACUUUAAGAAAUUUGCAUGACAAAUCUGGAUUCCCCUUUUGAUGUCAGAUACAUAAAUCAUUGUGAAAAGAACACUACACAAAAGCUUUUACGAACUUAGUUUUUCAUAUCAUAUGAUCUGUUAAUAUGGCUUCAGAUUUUGUUGUUUUUUUAAUGCAAUAUAAAUCAUAUGUCAUUGCUAUUAUGGCUAGAAUGAAGUAUGAAAAGGAAUAUAAGCUGUUAUGGACAAAUGUUUAAUACACAACUGAGUAUGUUAGAGAAUAUGACUAGAUUGCACUUGUGUUUACUGGGAUUGUGCAUAAAAUUUGGGUAAUCAUGCAUACAAAUGACAAGAAAGGAAACCUGCAUGUACAAAUUUUAUGUCAACAGUCAUGAAGGUAAACAUAUAUUUUCAUGGAAGACUGAAGAACAUUCAAGGUUAAAAAUCAUGAAGGGUGGUUUUUGGUAUUGCUAAUAAUUUAAUGUCAGGAUAUUACAAUCUUAUCUAAGUGAUUUCUUUUGGUAAUUAUCUAAGUAAUUCAUGUAUUACAUGAAAGAACUGAAAUACUUUUAGUUAUUAUUUACUUUGCUUUUAAAUAACAUUUCAUUUCUUUCCAUCAUUGUUUAGAUCUCAAAAUAACACGUCAGGUAAAAACAACAUAAGUUGGCCCAAUGGCAAGUUCAAAGAUGUAGGAUAAACAUUCUGUAAAAAUCCCUCAGCCUUUUUAGGAGCAGCCUGCAUAAAUCAUAAUUAAGGGAAAGAUGAAAUGAGCAGAAUGGAAAAGGACAGCAAAGAUGACACACUUAGCAGCAAAAAAUGGCUUAGAUAUGUUGCACUGAUUACAAAACUGAGCGAACACAGCAGUAAGUAUGAUGAGUUGAAGGUGGCCUAUUUCUUACGAUUAUGUUAAGAGGUUCUCUAAAUAAAAUGGACAGCUGUCAUUCA
ensembl:lncRNA